AUGCUCUAUCCCCAAGAAGAGUGCUCGGUGGUGGAGGCCACACCCCGCCCUCGGCAGCUAGUCCAGCUAAGAGCCACACUGCCUGACUGCGGUUCUGGUCUGUUCUUCCACACAGAGUGCGUCGGAGGAGCAGCGUUGGCGUUGCUAUUAGGAGACCUGCACAUCCCACACCGGUGCAACAGUCUGCCAGCUAAAUUUUAAAAAACUGCUGGUACCAGGAAAGAUUCAGCACAUUCUCUGCACUGGAAACCUUUGUACCAAAGAGAGUUAUGACUAUCUCAAGACUCUGGCUGGUGAUGUUCAUACCGUGAGAGGAGACUUCGAUGCGAAUCUGAAUUAUCCAGAACAGAAAGUUGUAACUGUUGGGCAGUUCAACAUUGGUCUGAUCCAUGGACAUGAAGUUAUUCCACGGGGAGAUGCGGCCAGCUUAGCCCUGCUGCAGAGGCAGUUUGAUAUGGAUAUCCUUAUUUCAGGACACACACAUAAAUUUGAAGCAUUUGAGCAUGAAAAUAAAUUCUACAUUAAUCCAGGUUCUGCCACUGGAGCAUAUAAUGCCUUGGAAACGAACACUAUUCCUUCAUUUGUGUUGAUGGAUAUCCAGGCUUCUACAGUUGUCGCUUACGUGUAUCAGCUAAUUGGAGACGACGCGAAAGUAGAACAAAUCGAAUACAAAAAUCUUAAAGUGAGGCGUGUCCUGAUGAUUUUUCUGUUGGGCUUUUUUUCUUCUUCAUUCCCCUGUUCAACUCAAGUAAUUAAACAUUUAAGAGCCACAAAAUUGUAUCACUUUUAUAAUAUUUUGCAGUAAAAUAUAAUCUCGUCUUCUGUUAAUACAAUGUUCUAAGCUUCUUGUAAACUAUAAGAUUAUAUUUAGUUUAAGUAUAUGAUUUCUACGAAAAAAUGUCCACCACACAGUAAAUGGGCACAUGUUAAGAAAGAUUUAUCCUUCUAGGUAUCUUCAUAGUUGCUAUUUGGAACUUUAUUACCAAAGUAGUGCAUGAGGAGAAAGAAUCCAGAUUUUCUUGUAUACAUUCUUCGCUUCCGCAGUAAUAAAGUUACUUUUCA